rnacentral:rRNA from 2 species
UGGGGAAUAUUGGACAAUGGGCGCAAGCCUGAUCCAGCCAUGCCGCGUGAGUGAUGAAGGCCCUAGGGUUGUAGAGCUCUUUCACCGGUGAAGAUAAUGACGGUAACCGGAGAAGAAGCCCCGGCUAACUUCGUGCCAGCAGCCGCGGUAAUACGAAGGGGGCUAGCGUUGUUCGGAUUUACUGGGCGUAAAGCGCACGUAGGCGGACUUUUAAGUCAGGGGUGAAAUCCCGGGGCUCAACCCCGGAACUGCCUUUGAUACUGGAAGUCUUGAGUAUGGUAGAGGUGAGUGGAAUUCCGAGUGUAGAGGUGAAAUUCGUAGAUAUUCGGAGGAACACCAGUGGCGAAGGCGGCUCACUGGACCAUUACUGACGCUGAGGUGCGAAAGCGUGGGGAGCAAACAGG